GUACCGGCGAUGUUUCAUUCAAAUUUCUGCCCUAUCAACUUUCGACGGUAGGGUAGUGGCCUACCGUGGUGGUAACGGGUGACGGAGGAUUAGGGUUCGAUUCCGGAGAGGGAGCCUGAGAAACGGCUACCACAUCCAAGGAAGGCAGCAGGCGCGCAAAUUACCCAAAUCCCAACUCGGGGAGGUAGUGACAAGAAAUAACGAUGCUCCGGCCAUCGGUCGGGUUCUCGGAAUGAGAACAAUUUAAAUCCCUUAUCGAGGAUCAAUUGGAGGGCAAGUCUGGUGCCAGCAGCCGCGGUAAUUCCAGCUCCAAUAGCGUAUAUUUAAGUUGCUGCGGUUAAAAAGCUCGUAGUCGGAUUUCGGGUGGCGCCUACCGGUCCGCCUUUGGUGAGUACUGGUAGGUACCACCUUUCUGCCGAGGACGGGGUGCUGGGCUUAGUUGUCUGGGCCUCGGAGUCGGCGAUGUCACUUUGAGUAAAUUAGGGUGUUCAAAGCAGGCUUAUGCUCUGUAUACACUAGCAUGGGAUGACACGAUAGGACUUCGGUUUAUCUUGUCGGUCUGUAGAUCGGAGUAAUGAUUAAGAGGGACAGUCGGGGGCAUUCGUAUUUCGUAGUCAGAGGUGAAAUUCUUGGAUUUACGGAAGACGAACUUCUGCGAAAGCAUUUGCCAAGGAUGUUUUCAUUGAUCAAGAACGAAAGUCGGGGGCUCGAAGACGAUUAGAUACCGUCGUAGUCUCGACCAUAAACGAU
rnacentral:rRNA from 1 species